UAUCACCAGCUAUCCAUGGCCCGAUCUGAGACCAACCAAUGGUCAGUGAUUGGAGCGCCAGAAGUAGCAAGCUACCCUAUACAAGGCAUCACUGCUGUCCCCUUGGCCAGCAGUGGUCAGCUUUCCAAAUCCCGUGUAACCAAGUGUUUAGCUGGGCAUACUUGCGGGACCGCGGCGCCGUCUUGCACAAGUUUGGCCAUCGAAGCAGCUCUGCCUACUCCGGCGCUCACUUGAAUGCCUCUUCCUCUUUGUUUCUUGCAUAGUGUUGUUGUUGGGCGUAAGAAUAUAUAGACCAUGGUGUUGUCCGGCACAGAUUUGGCCGGCAAAGCAGCUGUGCCUGCUCCAGUGCUCACUCCGACCUCCAUCCCUGUCCUUCCGGUGGUCAUUUGCUCUUCUGUCCUGGCAGAGGCCUAAAAGUUAAGCCUGGGACGUGGAGAAGCUGCUGAGGCCAAGGGCCCCUUCAACAAAGAUGCUCAUGAUCAAGUCAAAUCCCCCUCUACUAUAACCAAGGUUCAUGACAUGCCACCAUGUGGUCUUCCACUCUGACGCCCCGCCAUGCCCCUCCCCUCAGUUGGCAUCCACUCUCCUUCCUUCCUGACUGUAUAGGUGGCCAAUAUCACCAGCGGCAAACCCUAUCUCCAUGCCUUGGUCUUAGACCAACUAAUGGUUAGUGGUUGGAGCGCCAGAAGCAGCAAGCUAUCCAAUAUAUACAUGGCGUCACUGAUGUCCCCUUGGCUAGCAUUGGUCCUCUUUCCA